UACGUAGGGUGCAAGCGUUGUCCGGAAUCAUUGGGCGUAAAGCGCGCGUAGGCGGCCCGAUAAGUCCGCUGUAAAAGUCAACGGCUCAACUGUUGAAAGCCGGUGGAUACUGUCGGGCUAGAGUGCGGGAGAGGCGAGUGGAAUUCCUGGUGUAGCGGCGAAAUGCGCAGAUAUCAGGAGGAACACCAAUUGCGAAGGCAGCUCGCUGGAACGUAACUGACGCUGAGACGCGAAAGCGUGGGGAGCAAACAGG
rnacentral:rRNA from 1 species